rnacentral:lncRNA from 1 species
ACGCCUCACCCUGUUUUGCAACUUCUUGUUUAUGAGCCUGGAAGCCACGAAGUGGUGGGAAAUACGAGAUUCAAAUAUCUGGUGGCCGUGUGACGUGAGUAAAUUACUCGAUUUUUCUCAGUUUCCAUUUCCUAUCAAAUGGGUUGUUCUGGGAAUUCGGGGAAGUAACAGUGCCGGGAACCGCGGGAGGAACCGCCAGCUGCGUCCUCGGACGUCCCCAAAGCCCAGGGCGGCGACUGGCACGACUGUCAGGGGCGCGUCUGUUAAGAGGACAGGGGGUCCCGCCCCGGCACAGCCGUCUCCUCCAGGACCCCUCCCGCCGACGCCCCACGGACCCCACGCCCGAGCGGAGACCGGCGCGAGUCCGGGGUCUCCGGUCCGGCAGCCCCUCCCUGGCCCGGCGCCCCAAAGGGAAGCGGCCUGGGGGAGGAGACGUGUGGAAAGAGCGGCAGAAGAUAAAGAGGAAGUAGCGGUAGAGAAUAAAAAGGAACUGUCCGCAGUGUGCCCGGACGCGGGGAGGCGCUGGGGUCAAGCGAGACCCGACCUGCACGCAAUUCCCGCCGGGGUCCCGGCCUGCCUGCGGGAGGGAAAGGACCCAGGGCGGCUUCUGCCAAAAGUGCGGCUUCUGCCGAAAGUGCGUCUUCUGCCGAGGGGCCCACAUAAGGCGCGACAGACACUCCAGCCCGACCCCGACGCCCCGCCCUCACGCAUGCACAUGCGCGGAACACUCCCAGAAACACAUCUCCCAGAGCGCCCCGGGAGCACGCGAGCCAAUUGGAGGGCGGAUUAGCGGGGGCCCACGUCUCCCAGAGGUCUCCGAGUCGCGGCUCUGUUGGUCUGAUUGGCAGCCGCAACAGCCUAUAGCUGCUUUUCGCCGGAGGGGCCACGCGCCGUUUGCCGGGACUGAGCCGCUGUUGUCGCUGGUAUCCCGGGAGCAGCGCCGGCAAGUGGAGUCGUCGUAUUCCGGGCGGCCCGCGGCCCACGGGGAUGGGACGUCCCGGGGCUGUGCUGACCCCAAAACCCUUCCACACUUUAUUAGCCUGUCGCCCUUCUUUCAUGUUUACAGCAAAUAUUUUCCGAGUGCCUAAUGUGUCCCACUUACUGUGCCACGUGCGAGGGUGCACGUGUCAGGCAAGAUCGCUGUUCCAAGGAGGCUGAGAACAAGUAAAUGGUAAUUACCAGUUAUGACCAAAGCUGUGAAAGGAACAGAUACAUCAGCCUAACAGCAGCACUGCCGUUUUCUCCCUUAUAAUCAGCAGAGGCGGGCUAGAGCAAGGAUUCUCAAACUCUGCCCCCUCAGAACCCUAGAGUACGGUUGCUGAAACUUCUGUUUUUUCCUUUUGAACAAAUCUAGUAACAUGCUGUGAGCCAGAGAGGUAAUGGUUUGGCUCAAAGAAGGCACAUGCAUCUGGUUUCUUUCUUCUUUUUUGAGACGGAGUCUCGCUCUGUCGUCCAGGCUGGAGUGCAGUGGCGCCAUCUCCGCUCACUGCAAGCUCCGCCUCGCGAGUUCACGCCAGUCUCCUGCCUCAGCCUUCCGAGUAGCUGGGAUUACAGGCGCCCGCCACCACGCCCGGCUAAUUUUCACGCCCGGCUAAUUUUUUGUAUUUUUAGUAGAGACGGGGUUUCACCAUGUUAGCCAGGAUGGUCUCGCUCUCCUGACCUCGUGAUCCGCCCGCUUCGGCCUCCCAAAGUGCUGGGAUUACAGGCGUGAGCCACCGCGCCCGGCCCAGGUUUCUUAUUUCAGGAGCUUCAUAGGCAUAGACCUCCCUCCUUCCCUCCUACCCCCUCCCCCCUCUCCCAACUAAUGCCAGACCGGCCACUACUUUUUAACUGUUUUACAUAUUUAACCUUCAAGAAAGAUUUCCUUUGAUCCAAGUGUAUUGCAGCCCACAAAAAAGCUUGGAAACCCAGCUAGAUGGUCUGUUUUUCUAGUUCCUACAUUGGAUUUAAGUCCUACCCAUCGAGACUACUGUCUUCAGGUAAGCAUAUCGAGGCUGUAUUCACCUUCAUGGUGUUCUCAGGGGCACUUUCUUACACAAAUGAUGGUAAUCAUCCUAGAUCAUUUCCCUGCCUGCCACACUUGCCAGUUAGUUAGAAACUGUAAACCCCUUAAAUGUCUGUCACCAGGGCACUGGCUGAAUAGCUGAGUAAGUUUUGGUGAAUCCAUUCCUUGGACUACACUGCAUCCACUGAAAACAGUGCGGUGAAUUUCUGUGUGCUAAUGUGCAAAGAUGGUUUAUGUAUUAUUCAGUGGAAAAAGCACAUUUGCACUACAGUGCAGAUAGCAUGAUCCCAUGUUUGUAAAUAAGAGAAAAAAAUGUUAAAAUUUAAGUAUCUGGAGGGAAAUGCAAGAAAUAAAUAUGACUACCUUUCAAGAGUAGAAUUGGGGGUAGAAGUUGGCCUUUUCCCUCUAUGUCAUCUAUACGUUUUAUUUUUUUAUUUUAUUAUUAUUUUUUUGAGACGGAGUCUCACGCUGCUGCCCAGGCUGGAGUGCAGUGGCAUGAUCUGGGCUUACUGCGACCUCCGCCUCCCGGGUUCAAGCAAUUUUCUGUCUCAGCCUCCUGAGUAGCUGGGAUUACAAGCGCACGCCACCACGCCCGGCUAAUUUUUGUAUUUUUAGUUAGAGAUGGGGUUUCACCAUGUUGGUCAGGCUGGUCUCGAACUUCUGACCUUGUGUUCUGCCCGCCUCAGCCUCCCAAAGUGCUCAGAUUACAGGCGUGAACCAGUAUGCCCGGCGUUCAAUGAGCAUUUUUAAAGUUUUAUGACUCAUGAAACAUAGUCCACAAAUAUAUGCUCAUUGUGAAAUAGUAACGGAAAAUAAAAUAUGGCAAGCUAAAUGUUAGAGGAGAAAUUUCUUAUUUUGCUCCAUUACUUUUACAGCAGAAAAAUUAAAAAAUUUAUUAGCUGAGACUUUGUUUCACUGGGGUGCAGAAGAUUAAACAAAUGAUUUUUAAAAGCAGACUCUGCCCAUAGAGAAAAAAUAUUCGAGGUUUCCAAAGUAGAAUAAGUUUAAAUUAGCAAGUCAAAUAAGGAACCUUGAGCCAGUACCGAAGGAAACACGUCCCAGACCUAUCUCCAAACACACACACACACACACACACACACACACACUGCAGGCAUAACAUUUAUGCAGACAGACUGUUCUUUAGGGCAUAAUUGUCUCAUGUCUCAAUUCCUCUGAAGCUCCAGAGCAGAAACUGAAAUUUUAAAAAUGCAGUUGAGAUAAACUGAAAUGACUGACAGGCCAUUUGCCAAGAAAAGCUUUGGUUCUUUGGAACAAAGACAGUGCCCAUAUCCCAGCCAACAUCAGGUGGUAUUUCUCUUUCUGUCCUGUAGAGGGCAUCUUCAUGUGUGGGCACCAGGGCUGCGGCUGGAACCACAGUGGACACCCCACGCUCCAAGGACAAUCCUCUGCAGAAACCAGCAGCUGGAAACAAUUCUUAAUGCUGCAGGAAGUAGUUAGGAGAAAACGACUGUGUAAGUCAGAGCUAAAACUGGAGUUCAAAAACCACAGAAAAUAUUUCCAAGGCUGUCUGUGAAGUGGGGAUGUCAAAAUACCAAAAAUUACAGCUUUGGAACUGCAGUGGAUGACCUUUAAUUGAUGCAGUUUAUAGGUGCUAAGUAUUGUGUGUGCUUUACGUUGCCUCAUGUGAGUGCUUCAUAGCAGGGUGUGACGCUGGCCAAGUGAUAUACCUACCCUCUUUGUCCCUGUUUCUAUCAACUGUAAAAUGGGGGUUCUAGAGUUGUUGUGAAGAUUAAAUGAGCUAAUACACACAAAGCACCAAGAACAAUGCUGGAUACAAGGUAAUAGGUGUUUCUUCCUAGACUUCACUAUCCUCAUGUGAGGUGGGUAUGUUUAUUUAUUUAUUUGGGGACAGGGUCUCGCUCUAUCACCCAGACUGGAGUGCAGUGUUGCAAUCAUGGCUUAGCUCCCUACAGCUUUUUAAAUUUAAUUAUUUAUUAUUAUUAUUUUUUUGAGAUGGAGUCUCACUCUGUCACCCAGGCUGGAGUGCAGUGGCACGAUCUCUGCUUACUGCAAGCUGGGCCUCC